rnacentral:misc_RNA from 1 species
UCCGAGUUGACCCCGGCAGCCUCCCAUGAGUCCCCGCCAUAACGCGCUGGCAACAUGGAACGAGGGUUGCGCUCGUUGCGGGACUUAACCCAACAUCUCACGGCACGAGCUGACGACAGCCAUGCAGCACCUGUCAGGGGCCCUUACGGACCUUGCAUCUCUGCAAGUUUUCCCCUGAUGCCAAGCCCAGGUAAGGUUCUUCGCGUUGCAUCGAAUUAAGCCACAUGCUCCGCCGCUUGUGCGGGUCCCCGUCAAUUCCUUUGAGUUUCAGCCUUGCGGCCGUACUCCCCAGGCGGGGCACUUAAUGCGUUAGCUACGGCGCCGGGGGAGUCGACACCCCCAACACCUAGUGCCCAUCGUUUACGGCGUGGACUAC